rnacentral:rRNA from 1 species
ACUCCUACGGGAGGCAGCAGUCGGGAAUUUUGGGCAAUGGGCGAAAGCCUGACCCAGCAACGCCGCGUGAAGGAUGAAAUCCCUCGGGAUGUAAACUUCGCAAGAACGGGAAGAAUAAGUUUGUGUUAAUACCACAAGCGAUGACGGUACAGUUUGUAAGCUCCGGCUAACUCCGUGCCAGCAGCCGCGGUAAU